GAUGAACGCUGGCGGCGUGCCUAAUACAUGCAAGUCGAGCGAACAAACGAGGAGCUUGCUCCUUUGACGUUAUCGGCGGACGGGUGAGUAACACGUGGGUAAUCUACCUAUAAGACUGGGAUAACUUCGGGAAACCGGCUCUAAAACCGUAUAAUAUUUCGAACCGUAUGGUUCGAUAGUAAAGUAUGGCUUUGCUAUCACUUAUAGAUGGACCUGCGCCGUAUUAGCUAGUUGGUAAGGUAACGGCUUACCAAGGCAACAAUACGUAGCCGACCUGAGAGGGUGAUCGGCCACACUGGAACUGAGACACGGUCCGGACUCCUACGGGAGGCAGCAGUAGGGAAUCUUCCGCAAUGGGCGAAAGCCUGACGGAGCAACGCCGCGUGAGUGAGGAAGGUCUUCGGAUCGUAAAACUCUGUUAUUAGGGAAGACCAAACGUGUAAGUAACUGUGCACGUCGUGACGGUACCUAAUCAGAAAGCCACGGCUAACUACGUG
rnacentral:rRNA from 1 species